rnacentral:rRNA from 1 species
CCUACGGGCGGCUGCAGUGGGGAAUAUUGCACAAUGGGCGCAAGCCUGAUGCAGCCAUGCCGCGUGUGUGAAGAAGGCCUUCGGGUUGUAAAGCACUUUCAGCGGGGAGGAAGGCGGUGAGGUUAAUAACCUCAUCGAUUGACGUUACCCGCAGAAGAAGCACCGGCUAACUCCGUGCCAGCAGCCGCGGUAAUACGGAGGGUGCAAGCGUUAAUCGGAAUUACUGGGCGUAAAGCGCACGCAGGCGGUCUGUCAAGUCGGAUGUGAAAUCCACGGGCUCAACCUGGGAACUGCAUUCGAAACUGGCAGGCUAGAGUCUUGUAGAGGGGGGUAGAAUUCCAGGUGUAGCGGUGAAAUGCGUAGAGAUCUGGAGGAAUACCGGUGGCGAAGGCGGCCCCCUGGACAAAGACUGACGCUCAGGUGCGAAAGCGUGGGGAGCAAACAGGAUUAGAUACCCUAGUAGUC